AAGAAAGUGACAGAGUGGCCAUGUGACCGGCUUGAAACCGGUCUAAGGGGGUUCGAUUCCUCCCUUUCUCG
rnacentral:tRNA from 1 species